rnacentral:lncRNA from 12 species
AUGGCGUCCGCGGUGCUGGAUGUGCACCGUCCAUCCCGGUGCACGGCGGGCGGGGCGCUCCCCCCACAGCAGGCGGUGGCGAGGGCCCGGGACACCCGGCGUCUGGGCUCGACGCCUCAACGCGGCCUCCGUCCGAGAGGGCGGUCGGCGACCACACACCGGGCGACGCCCCGACGCACGUGCGGCGAGCGUGCGCUCACGUGCCGGGCUCCGACUUCCGGGUCACGGCCCGACGUCAGGUCACGUGCUCUUCCCGACUUCCGCUGGCGACCGUGUAGAGACGCAAGGGCCGGCCUGGGCCCCGGGGCGGAGCCCCCCCCCGUCAGCCUGCUCUCUUCCUCGUUUGCGGUGAGCUCUCCCCACCGCCCCCCGCGACACGGCCCCGCGUGGGCGCUUCCGCGCUCCCUACCCCCGCCCCCUCGUGACAUGGCCCCGCGUCACAGCGAAGCUGGCCGGCGGGCUGAGGCGUCUCUGUCCGGCGUUACAGGCCGCGCGGCGACGGGAGCGGAAGGCCGAGGCCGGCGGCCGAAGAGCCCCCUGAGGCAGGCGCACCCCGUCAGCUCCACCGGGUCGCGGGGAGCAGGUCGCGGGUCGCGGGUCCCUCUGCCGCGCGGGGGUCACGUCUUGCCCGUAACAAGUGUUUGCACACAGGCUCAGAGAAAGUUCAGAGCGCACAUCACAAGUACCUCUGAUACAUCAUGUUGGCUGAAGCAAAUAAUUGUAACAGCACUCAAGAAAUGAGUGAAUACCACAGGGAAGAGCUUCAACCACCCCUGCCCCUGACAACCUCCCUGUGCAGAUGGAAUAUUUCAACUAAAUUAGAAUAAGAACUAACGGGAAGGAACAACAAAGAGAAAUCAACAAAGAAGAAAUAACUUCAGAGAAAUACUGAUGCUUUCAACUAUACAGAUAUCAUUUUCUACAGACAUUUAUUUUGUUUGUCAAAGGCCAAGGAAUCAAAUCAGGUAGCGCUUUGAGUUUCUAAUCAUUUAAGAUUAACAUUCAAGUAAAAUCCCUCAGUUGAAGAAGGUAAAUGAUGAAAAAUUUGAAUUACUAGUUUAUGAUAACGCAGCUGGGAAUAAAACAUACUCCUGCUUUCUUAAUGUCA